CAGUCGCCGCGGGAAUACGUAGGGUGCAAGCGUUGUCCGGAAUUAUUGGGCGUAAAGAGCUCGUAGGCGGUUUGUCGCGUCUGCUGUGAAAUCCCGAGGCUCAACCUCGGGCUUGCAGUGGGUACGGGCAGACUAGAGUGCGGUAGGGGAGAUUGGAAUUCCUGGUGUAGCGGUGGAAUGCGCAGAUAUCAGGAGGAACACCGAUGGCGAAGGCAGAUCUCUGGGCCGUAACUGACGCUGAGGAGCGAAAGCGUGGGGAGCGAACAGGAUUAGAUACCCGGGUAGUCCCUGUCUCUUAUAC
rnacentral:rRNA from 1 species